ensembl:lncRNA
CCCCGGCUGGUUUUGACCCUCACUCUUGUGCUUUGUAUGUGUCUACACACACACCAUGGUUUCUUCCUCCAUCACUUGUCUUCUAUUGCACUUUCUCCCUGGACUUCACCCCAUUCAUGGAGUUAUAUUCUUGGCACGUAAAAAGUUUCAACAAAUAUGUGUUGGAAAGGAAGGAGAAAUGAAGUGGAAAAGGUAGGGUGGAAGAACAGCUUCCCCUUUCUAACGUCUCUGUUUCUUUUCAGACCUGUGCCACUCAUUCAUGCCUCUCAAUACUUAGCUCUAAAAUCAUCGCUUCUUGGAAGCCUUCUUUGAUUCCUUCCCCAAGGCCAGUAAAAUAUCUUCUUUUCUGGCAAAAAUUAAUGUGUACAACUCUACAGUGUAUUUACCAUGUUAUACGGUACUGCAAUUCCACCAGACUGUGAAUCGGUUAAAGGCAGGGCAACCCUGCAUGUUCCAUUUUAGCGUCACAAAAAGGCUUGACAUGUAAAGAAAGUUGGUGAAUGUUUUGGGAUUCAAUUUUUAACUUUUACAGAUACUCCAGGACAAAUGACAAGUGAAAAAGCUGAACAGUAAUUUCAGGAACCUGAGACGCGUCCCCAGAGCAGCGGGCUGUCAGGGGGCUUUGCCGUCUUCUGACCUCAGGCUGCUCCGCUUUAGAGGACCACAGCCUACGAUUCAUGUCAGAUACUUACCUCCCCUGUGUUCCAGGCUGAAUUGUAUCACCCCGAAAUUCAUGUGCUGAAGGACAUCGAAGGUGGACAUACUGGAGAUAACAGCCUUUGAGGGGUAAUUAAGAUAAGAUGGCCUCUUUAGGGUGGGGCCCUAGUCCAGUCUGACAGGUGUCCUUAUGAGAAGAGGAGCUGAGGACCCCGCCACACAGAGGACACAGAAGGAAGACAGCCAUCCCCACGCAAGGACAGAGGCCUCGGGAGAAACACCAGCACCUGGGCCUUCCAGGCUUCAGAACAGUGAGGAGAGAAACCCGUGUGGUCCAAGCUGUGUGGUCCAAGAGCUGCAAGGCGAACAAGGAAGAAUGAAAGACGGAGCUAAAAAGAUCGACAUGCGGAGAGCAGUAGCUGGUUGGAGGUAGGAAAUGGGUUAUUUACCUUACCCUUCAAACCAAUUUUAAAGUAACCGAUUUAGUUUCUGACUGCUGGCGUCGUUAAAAGAGGGAAAGGGAAAGCAGUCAGAAAGGCAAGUAUCAGAGUAAUGAAAAGUAAAGGCAGAAUAAAUGUAAAAUAGUGUGUGUUCUGUUCGCUAGAGAUAAAAAUCCUGCUGGAGUUAGACGUAGUAAAUGUUGUGACAAAUAUAUGUGAAAAGCUCUCAAUAUUAACCACUUGUUCUAUCACACGAUUGUGUGUUUAGUUAGAAUAGAUGCUAUUCUCGUGUUUUGAAAAAAAAAUUAAAAUAAAAAUUUGCCACCACAUUCCUCUUACUCAAAGAUGAAAAAACGUCUUUUGAUGUUUAGCAGAGGAAGCUAAAAAAGCAAAGAUAAAAAAUGGAUAAGGAAAGCACCUUCAUUUAAGAACAGCCAUUUACAGCUUUCUUUCCCGCAGAGAUGAUACGUUUUCAUCUUGGUGGGAAUGAGAAUUAAAAAGCUGGAUGUUUCCCUUUGUGAUUUGGUUGCCCGGGAGGUCAGAGCCAAACUACGGUCAUCUGUUGCUUCCUGAUUGCCCGUUCGUGUUUUACAGGCUUUAAGCACCUUUUCUGGCUCAGGGUUUUGCUUUUUGAUAAUGCUUUUUUAUUACACGAGACAUGCACACGCUGCUGUGGCAGCACACAGUAGAAAGCAACAAAUACUAACACCCAUACAUCUGUACGUCCUGUCACCCCAAGGCAACCGUCGAAACUGCUCUGCUCUCAUGCCCUCUGGAUGUGUGUGUGCACGUACGUGUGCGGGAACACAUACCUGAGACGGUUCUGAUGCCCCAGCGUGUGCUGUUUCAUUUUACUGUAAACGUUAACUGAUGGUGGUAAAUAUCAUGUGCGUAUUCCUGAGUUGUUUCAUUCUGAGUCGUUUCACUUAGAAUGUGACUCCCAUUGAUGCAAAAGACGUUCCUACAUUUUUGUGUGGAUGAGUAGCGUUCCACGGCAUAUAGAUACCACACUUUCUUCCGCAUCCAUUCUGUGCUAUGGAAAUACUGUGCUUUAUUUGACCUGUUUUUGAUGUUUCUGUAUUAUAAAAAAUGCCUAAAUAUAUUCUUUAAAACAAUUUCAGUAGCUUUAGAGGUACAGGUAGUUUUGGUUGCAUGGAUGAAUUGCGUCGUGAUGAAAUCUGAAAUUUUCCUGUGCUGUCACCUGAUACUAUGCAGUUUUUUCGUCCCUUACCACCACUCUCAGCCUCUCCACUUCUGAGUCUCCGAUGUCCAUGAUCCCACCCUGUAUGCCUUUACCUCCCCAUAGCUUAGCUCCCACUUACAUGAGAGAACACGCGGUGUUUGGUUUCCCAUUCCUGAGUCGUUUCACUUAGAAUAGUGACUUCCAGCUCCAUUCAAGUUGCUGCAAAAGAUGCUCUUGCAUUUUUGUACGGAUGAGUAGCGUUCCAUGGUGUAGGAUUACCGCACUUCUUCAUCCACACGUCAGUCCAUAGGUGCUUAGGUCGCUGUCACGUCUUUUCAGUUGUGAAUUGUGCUGUCACAUAUAUGUAUAUAUGUGUAUGUGUGUGUGUGUGUGUGUGUGUGUGUGUAUCUAGAUGUAGAUAUAGAUAUACAUACAUACAUAUAUGCAGGCAUCUUUUUUAUGUCAUGACCUCUUUUCCUUUGGGUAGAUACCCAGUAUGGGAUUGCUUCACCCAAUGGUAGAUCUACUUUUGGUCCUUUGAGAACUCUCCAUACUAUUUUCCAUACUGGUUGUACUAAUUUACAUGCCUCCCAGCAGUGUGUAAGUCCCCUUUCACCACACCCAUGCCAGCGUCUGUUGUUCUUUGACUUCUAAAUAAUGGCCAUUCUGGCUGGGGUCAAGUGGCAUCUCGCUAUGGCUUUCAUUUCCGCUCUCUGAUGAUGAGCAGUGUUAAGCUCGUCUGUGCCAUUUGCCCACUUUGUGAGGGGUGGUUGUUUUUUUCUUGCUGAUUUGUCGGAGUUCCUCGUCGAUGCUGGAUAUUAGUUCUUUGUCAGAUGCAUAGUUUGAGAAUAUUUUCUCUCAUUCCGCGGGUUGUCUGUUUACGCUGAUGAUGACUUCUUUUAUUGUGCAGAAGCUUUUUACUUUAACUAGGUCCCACUCACUUAUUUUUGUUAAUGUUGCAUUUGCUUUUGGGGUCUUAGUUGUAAAUUAUUUGCCUAGAACAAUG